CCUACGGGAGGCAGCAGUAGGGAAUUUUGCGCAAUGGGCGAAAGCCUGACGCAGCAACACCGCGUGAAUGUUAAGCCCUUCGGGGUGUAAAGUUCUGUCAAUAGGGACGAAUUUUGACUGUACCUAUAAAGGAAGCACCGGCUAACUCCGUGCCAGCAGCCGCGGUAAUACGGAGGAUGCGAGCGUUAUCCGGAUUCAUUGGGUUUAAAGGGUGCGCAGGCGGGCCUUUAAGCCGGCGGUGAAAUCGCGGGGCUCAACCCCGCCGAGCCGUCGGAACUGGGGGCCUUGAGUGCGGCGGAGGCAUGCGGAAUGCGCGGUGUAGCGGUGAAAUGCAUAGAUAUCGCGCAGAACCCCGAUUGCGAAGGCAGCGUGCCGUGCCGCCACUGACGCUGAGGCACGAAAGCGCGGGGAUCGAACAGGAUUAGAUACCCUUGUAGUC
rnacentral:rRNA from 1 species